rnacentral:lncRNA from 1 species
ACCAACAUCAUAUAAAUAUUUUUUUCCCUGGGUCAAUUAUAAAUUAAGAAAAGUUUUAAUCAGAUAGGUCUUAAAACAACUAAGGAACAUUUAAUAUAUAUUUGUGGGAUAAAUUUCAACGUACCUUUCAAUAUCUGCAUAACAUUGGAGUUUCUUCUCUCUGAUCUCUCCAUCCUGUAUUUGUAUUCAAGAACAGCCAAAAAAUAUUAAAAUAAUGAUAAAGCAACAUCAAUAACAAGAAAAAGAUUUACAAAACCCAAUACCCAAAAAAAAAAAAAAAAAACUUACAGAGAUUGGGCGACGUUUAGCAAGAACUGCAGGAGAAGAUAGUAAAAGUGCUGAAAAAAUUAACAGUAGGAUAAAUUUUUGCUUAUUGUCUAUGUAAGCCAUAGCCAAUGUGAAUAAUUUGUCUUGCAAACUUGUCUUGUGAUUUGUUUGUUUAUUUGGUUACUGAUUGCUCCACUACAGAAUUGAGUUGGCAUUAG